rnacentral:rRNA from 1 species
AUUGAACGCUGGCGGCAGGCCUAACACAUGCAAGUCGAGCGGCAGCGGGAAAGUAGCUUGCUACUUUUGCCGGCGAGCGGCGGACGGGUGAGUAAUGCCUGGGAAAUUGCCCAGUCGAGGGGGAUAACAGUUGGAAACGACUGCUAAUACCGCAUACGCCCUACGGGGGAAAGCAGGGGACCUUCGGGCCUUGCGCGAUUGGAUAUGCCCAGGUGGGAUUAGCUAGUUGGUGAGGUAAUGGCUCACCAAGGCGACGAUCCCUAGCUGGUCUGAGAGGAUGAUCAGCCACACUGGAACUGAGACACGGUCCAGACUCCUACGGGAGGCAGCAGUGGGGAAUAUUGCACAAUGGGGGAAACCCUGAUGCAGCCAUGCCGCGUGUGUGAAGAAGGCCUUCGAGUUGUAAAGCACUUUCAGCGAGGAGGAAAGGUUGUUGGCUAAUAUCCAACAGCUGUGACGUUACUCGCAGAAGAAGCACCGGCUAACUCCGUGCCAGCAGCCGCCGUAAAAC